UCGAGCACUUCUCAGAGUGUUUUCCAGAGGUGCUUGUCUGAGCUCAAGCCAUGCUGCAUUUAUAGGACAAUUUAGGCCUGAAGCUUACUUGAGACUUCAUCAGCAAGAAGACCAAAGCAGCACAGUAUCAACCCACUGAAGUUAAGGCUAAUGGAGCUGGCUUGGGAUUAAACUCAGCAGAGAGAAGAAACUUGAAGCAAGUUUUUGAGGUAAAUUCACUGUCACCAUCAUCAUCAACACUGGAACUAAGACCAGGAAUUUGCACUUAAAAUGUGCCCUGCAUUAGUCUUCAUGUUAACAACGUUGACUUCUGUGGUGGCAGAAGGAUGUGGCUGGAAGGAAUAAGCUUGAGGCUGGAAGAAGGAAGCUCACAGUUAAGGAGCAAUGUAAUUACUAGGAUUACCAAAUGAGUAGAAGGAUACAUGGAACUUGGAUUUUAUUUCUUGGGAGAUUUACAGGAGUACACACUACUGAAAUGCUGCAGACUGAGUAUUUAUUAAUCCACAACAACCAUCUGGGUCCAGGAAAACCAAGUAUUGUGCCAGGCAACAACUCAGCUGAGCAUCCUACAACCUUGCUGCUCUUCUGAUAGAGGUUCACCUUUUGUUCACCAGAACAUCUGCGACGUUAUCCAGGGUCUCCGCUUGCGGGCAUUUGUCCUCAUCUCCUGUAGGUCUUUCCAUUUCACCUUUAUGCUCCAUCUCCCUCCCAGCAGCAUCUGUUGCUUCUUCUGCAUCUGCUGCCCCUUCCACAGCACUAGCAGCAUCUGAGGUUUGGUCUCUCUGGAGGAGUGCUUUCCUGUGUCCAGCUAAUGUUUCAUCUGUGCUUUUUACAAACUAAUAUGUCACUCACUGUGGGCUUCUCCUUGGAAAAUCAGUUUUGUGGCCAAGGAGGAAAUUAA